GGGUUGUGAGGUUAAGCGACUAAGCGUACACGGUGGAUGCCCUGGCAGUCAGAGGCGAUGAAGGACGUGCUAAUCUGCGAUAAGCGUCGGUAAGGUGAUAUGAACCGUUAUAACCGGCGAUUUCCGAAUGGGGAAACCCAGUGUGUUUCGACACACUAUCAUUAACUGAAUCCAUAGGUUAAUGAGGCGAACCGGGGGAACUGAAACAUCUAAGUACCCCGAGGAAAAGAAAUCAACCGAGAUUCCCCCAGUAGCGGCGAGCGAACGGGGAGCAGCCCAGAGCCUGAAUCAGUGUGUGUGUUAGUGGAAGCGUCUGGAAAGGCGCGCGAUACAGGGUGACAGCCCCGUACACAAAAAUGCACAUAUUGUGAGCUCGAUGAGUAGGGCGGGACACGUGGUAUCCUGUCUGAAUAUGGGGGGACCAUCCUCCAAGGCUAAAUACUCCUGACUGACCGAUAGUGAACCAGUACCGUGAGGGAAAGGCGAAAAGAACCCCGGCGAGGGGAGUGAAAAAGAACCUGAAACCGUGUACGUACAAGCAGUGGGAGCACGCUUCGGCGUGUGACUGCGUACCUUUUGUAUAAUGGGUCAGCGACUUAUAUUCUGUAGCAAGGUUAACCGAAUAGGGGAGCCGAAGGGAAACCGAGUCUUAACUGGGCGUUAAGUUGCAGGGUAUAGACCCGAAACCCGGUGAUCUAGCCAUGGGCAGGUUGAAGGUUGGGUAACACUAACUGGAGGACCGAACCGACUAAUGUUGAAAAAUUAGCGGAUGACUUGUGGCUGGGGGUGAAAGGCCAAUCAAACCGGGAGAUAGCUGGUUCUCCCCGAAAGCUAUUUAGGUAGCGCCUCGUGAAUUCAUCUCCGGGGGUAGAGCACUGUUUCGGCAAGGGGGUCAUCCCGACUUACCAACCCGAUGCAAACUGCGAAUACCGGAGAAUGUUAUCACGGGAGACACACGGCGGGUGCUAACGUCCGUCGUGAAGAGGGAAACAACCCAGACCGCCAGCUAAGGUCCCAAAGUCAUGGUUAAGUGGGAAACGAUGUGGGAAGGCCCAGACAGCCAGGAUGUUGGCUUAGAAGCAGCCAUCAUUUAAAGAAAGCGUAAUAGCUCACUGGUCGAGUCGGCCUGCGCGGAAGAUGUAACGGGGCUAAACCAUGCACCGAAGCUGCGGCAGCGACACUAUGUGUUGUUGGGUAGGGGAGCGUUCUGUAAGCCUGUGAAGGUGUGCUGUGAGGCAUGCUGGAGGUAUCAGAAGUGCGAAUGCUGACAUAAGUAACGAUAAAGCGGGUGAAAAGCCCGCUCGCCGGAAGACCAAGGGUUCCUGUCCAACGUUAAUCGGGGCAGGGUGAGUCGACCCCUAAGGCGAGGCCGAAAGGCGUAGUCGAUGGGAAACAGGUUAAUAUUCCUGUACUUGGUGUUACUGCGAAGGGGGGACGGAGAAGGCUAUGUUGGCCGGGCGACGGUUGUCCCGGUUUAAGCGUGUAGGCUGGUUUUCCAGGCAAAUCCGGAAAAUCAAGGCUGAGGCGUGAUGACGAGGCACUACGGUGCUGAAGCAACAAAUGCCCUGCUUCCAGGAAAAGCCUCUAAGCAUCAGGUAACAUCAAAUCGUACCCCAAACCGACACAGGUGGUCAGGUAGAGAAUACCAAGGCGCUUGAGAGAACUCGGGUGAAGGAACUAGGCAAAAUGGUGCCGUAACUUCGGGAGAAGGCACGCUGAUAUGUAGGUGAAGUCCCUCGCGGAUGGAGCUGAAAUCAGUCGAAGAUACCAGCUGGCUGCAACUGUUUAUUAAAAACACAGCACUGUGCAAACACGAAAGUGGACGUAUACGGUGUGACGCCUGCCCGGUGCCGGAAGGUUAAUUGAUGGGGUCAGCGCAAGCGAAGCUCUUGAUCGAAGCCCCGGUAAACGGCGGCCGUAACUAUAACGGUCCUAAGGUAGCGAAAUUCCUUGUCGGGUAAGUUCCGACCUGCACGAAUGGCGUAAUGAUGGCCAGGCUGUCUCCACCCGAGACUCAGUGAAAUUGAACUCGCUGUGAAGAUGCAGUGUACCCGCGGCAAGACGGAAAGACCCCGUGAACCUUUACUAUAGCUUGACACUGAACAUUGAGCCUUGAUGUGUAGGAUAGGUGGGAGGCUUUGAAGUGUGGACGCCAGUCUGCAUGGAGCCGACCUUGAAAUACCACCCUUUAAUGUUUGAUGUUCUAACGUUGACCCGUAAUCCGGGUUGCGGACAGUGUCUGGUGGGUAGUUUGACUGGGGCGGUCUCCUCCUAAAGAGUAACGGAGGAGCACGAAGGUUGGCUAAUCCUGGUCGGACAUCAGGAGGUUAGUGCAAUGGCAUAAGCCAGCUUGACUGCGAGCGUGACGGCGCGAGCAGGUGCGAAAGCAGGUCAUAGUGAUCCGGUGGUUCUGAAUGGAAGGGCCAUCGCUCAACGGAUAAAAGGUACUCCGGGGAUAACAGGCUGAUACCGCCCAAGAGUUCAUAUCGACGGCGGUGUUUGGCACCUCGAUGUCGGCUCAUCACAUCCUGGGGCUGAAGUAGGUCCCAAGGGUAUGGCUGUUCGCCAUUUAAAGUGGUACGCGAGCUGGGUUUAGAACGUCGUGAGACAGUUCGGUCCCUAUCUGCCGUGGGCGCUGGAGAACUGAGGGGGGCUGCUCCUAGUACGAGAGGACCGGAGUGGACGCAUCACUGGUGUUCGGGUUGUCAUGCCAAUGGCACUGCCCGGUAGCUAAAUGCGGAAGAGAUAAGUGCUGAAAGCAUCUAAGCACGAAACUUGCCCCGAGAUGAGUUCUCCCUGACCCUUUAAGGGUCCUGAAGGAACGUUGAAGACGACGACGUUGAUAGGCCGGGUGUGUAAGCGCAGCGAUGCGUUGAGCUAACCGGUACUAAUGAACCGUGAGGCUUAACCUUACAACGCCGAAGCUGUU
rnacentral:rRNA from 1 species